rnacentral:sRNA from 1 species
AUGUACCACUCGUACACUCCGGUUCCUGUGCGCCGCCCGCACCCACCUGACGACUGCUCAACGAACAUCCACCUCAGUUGGCUUCGUCAGCG